CUCUGGGUCCUGAUAAAAGCUUGGGAAUUAUUAACUACAGUGACCUAUUCAUGAACCUAGAAUAAAGAUAAUGAGAGCGACAGUCGGUGUUUAUUGUGAGAAAUGAGGACAGGAAGACUGCCCUUCUGAACCUCCUCUCUGUCAAAGGACUUCUAGGGAUUUUCAGCAUGUGGAGGAAGAUCAGAAAGUCUCCGCGGAACUUCUGCCAAGCUGCUGAAGUCACAGACUCUUCCCACACUCCCCUGGGUCUCGUCAAUUCUUAUCAAGGAUUCAGGGGUGGCAGCAGCAGCCUUCCCACUUCAGAAAAGGAAGUUGCAGAUGUGUCCUGUGACGAUGUUUGUGUGUGGUGA
rnacentral:lncRNA from 1 species